UACGUAGGUGGCAAGCGUUGUCCGGAUUUAUUGGGCGUAAAGGGUUCGCAGGUGGCCUUUUAAGUCAGAUGUGAAAGAUCACAGCUCAACUGUGGUAAGCAUUUGAAACUGAAAGGCUUGAGUUAAGGAGAGGAAAGUGGAAUUCCAUGUGUAGCGGUGAAAUGCGUAGAUAUAUGGAGGAACACCAGUGGCGAAGGCGACUUUCUGGUCUAUUAUUGACGCUGAGGCUCGAAAGCAUGGGUAGCAAACAGGAUUAGA
rnacentral:rRNA from 1 species